CCUACGGGAGGCUGCAGUGGGGAAUAUUGGACAAUGGGCGAAAGCCUGAUCCAGCCAUGCCGCGUGUGUGAAGAAGGCCUUCGGGUUGUAAAGCACUUUCAGUGGGGAAGAAAGCCUUGGGGCUAAUACCCUCGAGGAAGGACAUCACCCACAGAAGAAGCACCGGCUAACUCCGUGCCAGCAGCCGCGGUAAUACGGAGGGUGCGAGCGUUAAUCGGAAUUACUGGGCGUAAAGCGCGCGUAGGCGGUCUGAUAAGCCGGUUGUGAAAGCCCCGGGCUCAACCUGGGAACGGCAUCCGGAACUGUCAGGCUAGAGUGCAGGAGAGGAAGGUAGAAUUCCCGGUGUAGCGGUGAAAUGCGUAGAGAUCGGGAGGAAUACCAGUGGCGAAGGCGGCCUUCUGGACUGACACUGACGCUGAGGUGCGAAAGCGUGAGUAGCAAACAGGAUUAGAUACCCUAGUAGUC
rnacentral:rRNA from 1 species